rnacentral:rRNA from 1 species
GUUUGUUAAGUCUCUGGGGAAAUCUUCCGGCUUAACCGGAAGGCGUCUCAGGGAUACUGGCAGACUAGGGACCGGGAGAGGUGAGGGGUACUUCAGGGGUAGGAGUGAAAUCCUGUAAUCCUUGGGGGACCACCUGUGGCGAAGGCGUCUCACCAGAACGGCUCCGACAGUGAGGGACGAAAGCUGGGGGAGCAAACCGGAUUAGAUACCCGGGUAGUCCCAGCUGUAAACGAUGCGCGUUAGGUGUAUCGGUGACCACGAGUCACCGAGGUGCCGAAGAGAAAUCGUGAAACGUGCCGCCUGGGAAGUACGGUCGCAAGGCUGAAACUUAAAGGAAU